UACAGAGGUCCCAAGCGUUGUUCGGAUUCACUGGGCGUAAAGGGUGCGUAGGCGGCCGGGUAAGUCUGACGUGAAAUCUUCAAGCUCAACUUGGAAACUGCGUCGGAUACUAUUCGGCUAGAGGAAUGGAGGGGAGACUGGAAUACUUGGUGUAGCAGUGAAAUGCGUAGAUAUCAAGUGGAACACCAGUGGCGAAGGCGAGUCUCUGGACAUUUCCUGACGCUGAGGCACGAAAGCCAGGGGAGCAAACGGG
rnacentral:rRNA from 1 species